UACGGAGGGUGCAAGCGUUAUCCGGAUUUACUGGGUUUAAAGGGUGCGUAGGUGGGUCUGUAAGUCAGUGGUGAAAUCUCCGGGCUUAACCCGGAAACUGCCAUUGAUACUAUAGAUCUUGAAUAUCCUGGAGGUGAGCGGAAUAUGUCAUGUAGCGGUGAAAUGCUUAGAUAUGACAUAGAACACCAAAUUGCGAAGGCAGCUCACUACGGGAUUAUUGACACUGAGGCACGAAAGCGUGGGGAUCAAACAGG
rnacentral:rRNA from 1 species